CCUACGGGGGGCUGCAGUCGAGAAUUAUUCACAAUGGGGGAAACCCUGAUGGUGCGACGCCGCGUGGGGGAAUGAAGGUCUUCGGAUUGUAAACCCCUGUCAUGUGGGAGCAAAUUAAAAAGAUAGUACCACAAGAGGAAGAGACGGCUAACUCUGUGCCAGCAGCCGCGGUAAUACAGAGGUCUCAAGCGUUGUUCGGAAUCACUGGGCGUAAAGCGUGCGUAGGCUGUUUCGUAAGUCGUGUGUGAAAGGCGCGGGCUCAACCCGCGGACGGCACAUGAUACUGCGAGACUAGAGUAAGGGAGGGGGAACCGGAAUUCUCGGUGUAGCAGUGAAAUGCGUAGAUAUCGAGAGGAACACUCGUGGCGAAGGCGGGUUCCUGGACAUUAACUGACGCUGAGGCACGAAGGCCAGGGGAGCGAAAGGGAUUAGAUACCCGUGUAGUC
rnacentral:rRNA from 1 species